CCUACGGGUGGCCGCAGUGAGGAAUAUUGGUCAAUGGGCGCGAGCCUGAACCAGCCAAGUCGCGUGAGGGAGGACGGCCCUACGGGUUGUAAACCUCUUUUGCCGGGGAGCAACGGGCGUCACGUGUGGCGCCACUGAGAGUACCCGGAGAAAAAGCAUCGGCUAAUUCCUUGCAAGCAGCCGCGGUAAUACGGGGGAUGCGGGCGUUAUCCGGAUUGCUUGGGGUUAAAGGGUGCGUAGGCGGAUCGUUAAGUCAGUGGGAAAAUUGGGGGGUCAAACCCCUUCCCGCCAUUGAAACUGGCGCUCUUGAGUGGAAGAGAGGUAUGCGGAAUGCGUGGUGUAGCGGUGAAAUGCAUAGAUAUCACGCAGAACCCCGAUUGCGAAGGCAGCAUGCCGGCUUCCGACUGACGCUGAGGCACGAAAGCGUGGGGAUCGAACAGGAUUAGAUACCCUUGUAGUC
rnacentral:rRNA from 1 species